ensembl:lncRNA
GGGCAGUCAGUUUCUGUUGACCCACCAAGAAAAAGAACUGAAGAAAUGGUUGUUGCAAAUGAACAUUUAUUUCAGCAGUCAGUGAGCACUGCUGGACAAAGAAUGUGGCUUACAAUGGGACUUUAGUCACAAAAGUCACCCAGAAUUUUCAUGAUGGCAAUUAUUGAGUUAGACCAGGGAAGAAAAUGAACAGAGCUGGCAAUGACUUGUGAUCAACACUGUCACACAUGUGCUGAUCAGAUAAUCCACUAAACACACACCAGUCUCAACUCCCGGCCUACACUGAAUUCUGUACACUAGACAUUUGCCAUAAUCCUAAUGGCUCACUACAAACCCAGCUUUAAUUCCAUCCACAUUCAAACACUAGAAGACUAAGUGCCUCCAAACAUUAAUUGCAUUCAAUUCAACCAACUUUCUGUAAGCACAUUAUCUCGUGCUCUAUUCAUAUCUAUCAUAGCCGUUGGCACACAAUCCCAGCACUUGAGCAAGGACAGGUGCGUUUGAAGACAGUCAAUACUGCACUUUCUCAUCUUGUCUUUUCUGGACGGUCAUAACAUCCAAUUCUCACUUGUGUCACUGGCCCUAGAAAACAAACACAGGGAUUACAAAACUACCAACACAAAAAUGAAAACAAAAAACCCCACAACAAUGCCUUUUUAAUGGUCCGUCUCAGAAGCCAGAUCCGUAAUUUUGUAUUUCAACAGGAAUUCAGGUUCGGGAUAGGGUCAUCAUAGAUCAGACCAAAGACAGUAUGUUCAUGUUCAACAACAACAAAAAACUGCACUCACAUGCAUUCCCAGGAGCUCUAGUAACUGUACAGGGAGCUGGCAUUUCACUCACUGGCAUUCGCUGCUAACAGAAAAAAAAAGCACUAUGAAGUAUUUUGUAGUUAUCUACUUAAAGCACACUAUACAACUGAGAAUACUUCCAUUUACUUCUCCAUACUUGAAAGUAAUCUGAUUGUUUAGAUCAAUUAUGCCUUACAAUGGUUCAAUCAACUCUAUAGCCAUUCCAAAUUAAAAGGCAAGCUUACAACAAAUCGUAUAUUAAUGUUAAGUUUAUAAAUGAAACGGUUGGCCAAUAUCAGUUUCUACACUUUAUAUUUUACCAUGUAGACGUAACGCUUUGUAUGCUCACAAAUUAAAACCUACCCUUGAUACACACCUUUUAAAAACAGUCAGGUCUUAAGCAAGUUAUCUCCUGUUAUGAAUUCACUGGGGUGGUUUGGCCCUCUGUCCUCCAUCUAAUUAAAGAAACAAAACUUUAAGCACCACAGCAGCCUCUACUCGUUCAAUUAGAAAACGAAGUUGCAUCACCCUCACCUGGGCAUUUCUUUGCAACUGCUUCGAAGACCCAGAAAACGAUGGCGUCAUUGUUCCUGUGAAAGGAGUAAUGCGUUAUCAGUCGUCUCUUGGGCGACACUAGCACCUUCUGAACAGCACGAAACUAAAAAAAAAAAAAAAAACCUUCCUCUGCCCAAGUCUUUUUGGAACAGAACUCACCCACGCCGGGAAAUAGGAACUAGACCCCUUAGGCCAUCAGCCAGGCCACCAAGCUCCAAUCUCCUUGGGCCUACGCGCCAAUCCUGCAAUCCCAUAGCAGAUGCGCAUUUCCCCAAGUAAAUUUUCAACCGCACUCUAACCUCAAACCUCCGAGGCUGUCCCACAAAACAGAAGCGUCCCAUUUUACUUUGCUCCACCGUAUUUCGCUUGGUCAUAACCCCCUCCCCCACAAUCCGCCCUCUCACUUACAGACAUAGGAAAAACCUCAGCUUCCCGACGUAAAAGAACGAGCCACGCAGCCUGCAGCUCCCUUUAUAGCCUGCGUGGAGCGAGACCGAGGCUGCCCCUCCCUCUCGCCCCUAUUGGAUGUGAAGCCAUGUGGGGGCGUGGCCUUUCCCUGGGGAACGCGUGGGAGCGCGCCUCUUUUCUUCCGGGCCAUCAUGGGGUGUGGUGCGCGCCCCCCCAGCUCGCCGCGUGCUCGUCCUUUGCGCGCGUCGCCGUCGGCACGUUGCCACCCGUCUCUUCCGAGUAUGUCCGGCCGCUCGGCUCUACGUGGCGUGGGAGUGGCGCCAGAAUUCAAACGAACAGCCGCAGUUGUAGGCGAGGUCACCGCCUGCUUUGAGCCAAGUCGGCUAGGACUCUCCGUGGCUGGGAGCGGCCUUUACGCGCGGCCCGUGGAGGAGCCUGGCUGGCCCGGUGGCCGGUGCUGCGCUUGGUCCGCGGCGGCGCAGCUGAAUGGACGUCGGCGGACAGUACUAAGACGGUGAAAACCGGAAAGCCCUACGUUUAUCCUUCGUGCACCCUGCGGGUACCGUAUGUCAGCAGAAGGCCACGCUGUCGCGUUCACGCCACCCAACUCCUGUUCAGGCACCCAGCCAGGCAAGCGGUGGUGGUGGUGGUGGUGGUGGUGGUGGUGGCAGCAGCAGCAGCGCACGCCUUUAAUCCCAGCACUUGGGAGGCAGAGGCAGGAGGAUCUCAGUGAGUUCAAGGCCAGCCUGGUCUAAAGAAUGCUGGUGGAUUGAUGUUGUGGUCUACUUGACAGGACUGAGAAUGGCCCAAGAGCCAUGCCUUUGGGUGUAUUUGUGAGGAUGUUUUCAGAGAAGUUGAACUGAAGAAAGAAGAGUACCCGGAAUAUGGAUGGCAUCAUCCCAUGGAGGAGGAGACAACUCUUCAAAACAACUCCUUCCCAGAAUAGAAAUGAAGCCUUUGAUUGGAACAAGAACACUUCAUCUGUUAAGACAGAAGAGAAGAUCUGGAUGCCUGACAGGGCAUCCACAUCCAAGGUUGUAAUCUGCAUCCCAGGCCAAGAGAUCCCAGCAUCCUGCCAUGACCUUCCUGUCAGGGCACAGGGCCCAGCAACCUGAGCCGGCCAUGGAAUCCUAUAAACAGCAACUCCAGCAGUGGCUCUUCAUUUUUAUCAGGAUCUUUCAGAGUCUG